rnacentral:rRNA from 1 species
UAAGCGGAGGAAAAGAAACUAACAAGGAUUCCCCCUAGUACCGGCGAGUGAAGUGGGAAAAGCUCAACUUUGAAAUCUGGCAGCUUCGCUGUCCGAGUUGUAGUCUCGAGAAGUGUUUUCCGCGCUGGACCAUGUAUGAGUCUGUUGGAAUACAGCGUCAUAGAGGGUGAGAACCCCGUUCAUGACAUGACUUCCAGUGCUUUGUGAUACACUUUCGAUGAGUCGAGUUGUUUGGGAAUGCAGCUCAAAAUGGGUGGUAAAUUCCAUCUAAAGCUAAAUAUUGGGGAGAGACCGAUAGCAAACAAGUACCGUGAGGGAAAGAUGAAAAGCACUUUGGAAAGAGAGUUAACAGUACGUGAAAUUGUUGAAAGGGAAACGCUUGAAGUCAGACUUGCGUAGUGCCUUCGGGUGCUGUUGCAGGCCAGCAUCAGUUUUUCGAGCCGGAUAAAGGUGGGAGGAAGGUGGCAGCUCCGGCUGUGUUAUAGCCCUCCCACUGAUUACGGAUACUGUGACACACAAUAAGUCCC